ACAUUUUCUCCUUAUUGUCAUUAAAACAAUCAGCUGAAUUUGUCUUCAGUGGCCAAAAUAAAUUAUUAUUAUUUUUGAGAUGGAGUCUCACUCUGUCGCCCAGGCUGCAGUGCAGUCUUAAUGUCUUAUAAAUCAAGGGGGCCAGAUGGAGUUCAUCCUGCUUUCUCAGCUAAGCGAGAGUUUUAUUCAUGUGGAAACAAGGCUAGGUGAUUAAGAGAGCAAAAGGGAGAGUCUAAAAACAGGGUUAGUAAAAACAAGGUUGGGCAUUACCUUCACCACCCGUGUUUUUGGGGAAUCAAAUUGUUGAUUCUUCAGUUAUUAACAAGGGGGUCAUAUUGAGUCUUAAGAUACGUAAGUUUGACAGAAGCUAUGCGUUGUUUUAUAAAAUUAAGAAACCAAUUUAAUAUACAAGGCCCAAAAAUUAAACUUAAUAGUAGGAUGAGGAGAGGUCCAGCUAACCCAGUGAUUAAAGUAGUUAGCCAUGGGUUCCAGUUAAACAUGCUUUGAUACCAGGGGAUGUUAUUUUCUCGUUCUUGUUGGUGCCUAUCUAGAUUUUCUCGACCUUUUUGUACUGUACCUUUUAUGACUCCAGAUCGAUUGGCAUAGAAGCAACAACUUUCUCCUAGAGCUGCACAUAAACCUCCUUGAGAGAGGAAUAGCGGAUCUAAGCCUCGGCAGUUUUGAAGAACUACUUCAGCCAGAGACUCUACCUGGGAAUGUAGU
rnacentral:lncRNA from 1 species